rnacentral:rRNA from 1 species
UACGUAGGGUGCGAGCGUUGUCCGGAAUUAUUGGGCGUAAAGAGCUCGUAGGCGGUGUGUUACGUCGGCCGUGAAAACCUGCAGCUUAACUGUGGGCGUGCGGUCGAUACGGGCAUCACUGGAGUUCGGCAGGGGAGACUGGAAUUCCUGGUGUAGCGGUGAAAUGCGCAGAUAUCAGGAGGAACACCGGUGGCGAAGGCGGGUCUCUGGGCCGAUACUGACGCUGAGGAGCGAAAGCCAGGGGAGCAAACGGGG